rnacentral:rRNA from 1 species
UACGAAGGGGCUAGCGUUGUUCGGAAUUACUGGGCGUAAGCGUAUGCAGGCGGACUUUUAAGUCAGAAGGUGGAAAGCCCGGGGCUCAACCCCGGAAUUGCCUUUGAGACUGGAUUGCUAGAAUCUUGGAGAGGACGAGUGGAAUUCCGAGUGUAGAGGUGAAAUUCGUAGAUAUUCGGAAGAAACACCAGUGGCGAAGGCGGCUCGCUGGACAAGUAUUGACGCUGAGGUGGCGAAAGCGUGGGAGCAAACAGG